CCGGUGUUGUUGGAUUGUCCGGGCCCCACGAUCAUGGCUUAUAGCGUAAACGCUUUGUUCGUUCGGCUCGCGCGACUUAAUAACACGAU